UUUUGUUAGUGCACGACACAGGUUUCAGCUGUGGAGAAGAACGAGGCAAUGACAGUGUGUCUUCACACGUAACACUGAGACUUAAUGCUUAAGUGUCAUAUGCAUUUUUUAUCAUUUCUCUUUGUCUUCGUUCCCCUUAUUCUAAAAAGCCCAGGUGUUAUUAGAUGUCUAUUCCCGAAACGAGGUGCUGAGGGCUGGCAGACGGGAAGACAGGGCGCCGCCGCGUGAGCUGUUCCAUGCCCGAGCGGAGAUUACACAAAACAACACAGGAAUGCAGUUACCGUGAUUUGGAGCAGCGUCCGUGCCCCUGAACGCGGUAAAUGCGUGUAAAUUUGUAUGAGGCAGACGUCGGCUGUCAGCGAUGUCAUUUCUUUUCCCGAAUAUGAAAGCCUGCCUGAUCGUAUCACUCAGUCUUAGCUGUCAUUGGGAUAUACAGGCUGUCUCUCGAACGAAGGAGCCGCAGAGCAUGAGCACAAGGUUAAAAAACAUUUUAAUUUAAUAUCAAACAAGAAAUAGAUGAUUCUUCAAUAUUAUCUAUAAAACUGUACAACAUUGUUCCUUUCAAAGGAUUUCAAGACUACAUAUGAUCUGAUAACUCGUGAUUCUAUUUAUGUUCAUGUUUAAGCUGCAUUUCCAUAAAUACAAACAUGUACUCAAUUGA